rnacentral:lncRNA from 1 species
AUCUAUCAACCAUGUGAUAGCACAUAACCACUUACAUUUUUUUAGAAGACAAAAAAAGGUGAUGGAGAGGAAAACACUUGCUAGCUUGUGCUUCUUUCUCAUUUUUCUCUUAGCUGCUCGUAAGUUUAUAUUAUAGUAAUUUGGGAUAUCAUUUUGUAUUUUAGUCAUUGUGUUUAACUCAUAAAACCAUUUUUUAGUACAAUACUUUUUAUUAGAAAAUAAAAACAUGUAUGCAAGCUAUAAUUUAGAGUUUAAUUUUUAUAUGUUUACGAUUUUUAAAGAAUAAUUUUUCAGUUCAGUAAUUAUAAAUAUAUAUACAUAUAUUUUUUUUGAGAGAAUGAAUAUAUCUAUAUAUGUAUGUACAUAUACAUAUAUAUAUAUAUAUAUAUAUAUAUGAUUAUUCAUGAUUGCUUGACACUUUCAAUCAGAUUUUUAAAUACUUGAUUGUAAAUUCUAAUUGAAAUAAUCUUGGUAAAAUUUACUUUUCUCUCGAUCAAAUUAUAUAUCACUAUGGCCAUCUUCCCUUAUGAAUUGAAGAAGGAAAACAUAAAAACAAAUCUUAAAUUUGAUGCAACAAUUUUUUUUCUAUUUAGAAAAAAAUAGAAAUAUAGCAUUGGAAAAUGAUGAAAAGUGAUAAAUUUAACUUUUUAAAAGUCAAAAUAUUGUUGAAACCAAUGCAGACAUGCUACUUUUGGCUUCCUUAAUCAUUGCCCCGAGGGCAAUGGUUAGCAAGACCUUAAUAAUAAUAAUAAUAAUAAUAAUAAUUUUGUCAAAAAAAAUAAUAUACUAAUAAUAAAAAAGUUUUUCUAUCAUAUGCAAAUUAAUUUAAAAUAGUAAUUUUGUUACCUAUCGAGUGAGACACCAAAUCAGCACUUCAGGGGUGCAUGUAUUGGUUCAUCUCGCAAACAAGAAUGUGACUAUGGUUGCAGGAGAGGAGUAGGCUGGAGAGGAGGUUAUUGCAAAAAGCAGAAAUGUGUUUGUGACUGUACAUGUAUUGGUGCAUGUAUAAAUUAUGAUCAUCUCCUACAUAAAUAAAUAAUCUAGCUAGAUUUUAUAUGUUCAUGGAAUAAAUCAUUGAUCAAGAGAAUUAAUUAAUAUAUGGAGUAAUAUGUGUGAUAAGAUAGCAUGUUGUCUUAAUAAAUAAAAUAUGUGUUAUUCUUCAAAAAAAAAAAUGUGUUAAUUAUAUUUGUAGUGUUUUUUUUUAAAAAAAAAAAAAAAAACAAAAUGAUAUUCAUUCAUUUAAAUCGAGAGAUUACAUCAUUCAACACCGCUAAAAACGUAAAGAAUGAAUCUGCGAACAAAGUCACAGCAUCCAAGUUAAUAGCAUAUAACUGCAUAAUGCCUACAAAAAUAUAUGAUGAAAUUAAAGUGAUCGGAAUAUCCAUUGCCUCCGGAUCUGCAACGUUGACGCCCAAAUCUUUGAUUGAACAAUCGAUCUUUUAAUAUGAAUCAAUUGAACACCGCACGAAGAUGGAAAAUCAAACAACGUCGCACAAGACGACGAACAACAAAUCACCACACUUAGAUGAUGAAAUUGCAAAGAAAAAAAAUCUAGAUCUAUGUGAAAAUCACUUAUUUAGAUUGAAAUAAAGAGAAAAAGAUGAAGAUGGGUGAUUUUAGGUCAAUAAUUGAUCCAAAACCACCCCUCAAUGAAGAAACGAAAACCUAGAGAGAGAAAACUAGAGCUGACUUGUUUAUAUUUAUAGUGUUAUAUUUCUUUGCUCAAAAUCGAUAGACCAACGUAGUGUAACAAAACUAAAAGUUAAGAACAAAAAUAUAAAUGGGCAUGUAUAAGACAAAAUAAAACAAAAAUAUGAUCAAGAUUUAUGAGAAUUGUUCAAACUCUUAAAGAUAAAAUUAUGUGGUUUGCAAUUGCAGUUGCACACAUUCAUGUUGGUCUUUUUCGAAGAAGAGAGAAAAAAUUAUUAAAAUUUCGGAAACCGUAAAAUUGUGUCAGAUGUCAAGCUUUGACAUCUGGAAAAUAUUUAUGUAAGAUAUCUCGUGGAAUUUGUACCUACAAAAUAUAGGACCCCCAGCCCGCGCCAAACAUGUCAAAUUUUUUAGCCCCGCUAAUCUCUUUGUGAUACGAUAAAUACAAAGUCACUUGCACGAGCUCUUUGAGCUAUAAGGCUUUUUCUACCUUAAAAUUGAAACACAUUUCUCUUGCCUUAAUUUCAAUACCAAAAAUGAAGUCAUAGCUAGAGUCUUCUAUUCCAUUGGUUCUUAGCUUCAUCUAAUUUCAUUUUCUGCUGUUUGAUGCGAUCAGUCUCAUUCUAAUUGCACUUUUUAGAUGUCUGAAUAACAGAUUUACAACAAAUUAAGUAAUAAACAAAGUUGAAGAAAUUCAGAACCAAUUGUAAAGACUUAACCCAUCAAUCAUUUAGGCAGAGGAUAAAGAAGUAAGCAACUCAAGCAUGCAUAAGGAGAUUGAAAAAGUUUACGAAACAUCACAAGUAAACUUAUAUCAGUAUCGACAUUAAAAUCUGCUGAAGUAUAUGCAAGAGCACCGUGAAGUGAAUCUUCUUUUCCAACACUAGGAAGCGGAAGAAAUUCCUUUCUCGCAGCAGCUUUCAAGUGGUUAAUAGUCUUUGCAUUUUCUGGAAUGUAUCCUUCUUCAUCGUAGUUAACAAAAGGUGACAAGUAAGGUGGAGGAGUGCUGUUAAUAAAAGAAAAAUUUUAGGUUUUUAACGUUUAGCAAUUAAAAUUUCAAUUAGAAACAAAUUAAUCAAACAAAAUGAAAAGAAAAAAGGAUGUGUGGAUUUGUGAUUCCACAAGAAGAUAUCCCUUGAAGAAAAAACAAAUUUUCUCAGAAUAUAAUAUAGGACACUCCUACCAUAUAAGUUUCUAUCGGAAAAAUUAUGCGUGCAUUGACACAAUCAAAUAUCAUAUAUAUUUUUGGUUUUGGUGUUUUCUCCCGUAACCUGUCUGUACGUUCGUAGUUUUUCUUUGUCUCGGCUUUCUUUAUUUUUCUGUCAUGCACUCUAAUUGUUCUAUGUUCUUCCAGCAAAGGUUCACGAUAAAGAAAGCUAACAUCUUUCAAAUGGUAAUAAGUCUGAUGAGUUCCCUUGACCUUUUUCUUAGGCUGCCGGGGUGUUACAGCUUUUGAAAUGCUUAGUUUCCUAAUAUUUGCAAAAGCCAACGUAAAAAUCGAAGUAGUAACACUUCAACACAUUAUAUAGAUGCAUUUUCCGAAUGACAACAGAUCAGUAAUGCCAGAAAUUACAAAUUUGGCAGCAUUUCCCUCCUUUUUCUUCCCCUACGAUACAAAAGUAACAACAUUAAGGGCAUGUUUGGUUUGAAUUUGUCAGAAUACAUUCAGAGCUAAAGUACUUUCCUAUAAAACAUACGUUUGUAUGGACCCUGAUACUUUUUCAUUCUCCUCUUGCCGUUUGAGUUGUUCCAUUUACCAUUUGAACAUAUAUUAUGUUGUUGCAGUAAUGCGAUUUUUUUGGUAAUUACAUAUCCAAAAGUACUUUCAAUAACUAUUAUAUCUAAAUGAAUUACCUUUCAUCAUACAUGCUUUUGACAAGGGUCCCAAACAUAAACAACGCUAGAGCUGACUCAUUUUAAUCAAACUUGAUUUUAUAAAAUGAGGCUUGAUCAAACUAAUAUAGCUAACUUUAAUCCUAACAUGCCUCAAAUAUAUGAAAAGGGCUUACUUUCGUCUAGAAAAUUUUCAUUCUUCUUUUCUAACUAGUUACGGUUAAAAACUAUAAAUUCCAAAAAAACCAAAAAAUAUAUCUACAAAUAUCUGCCUUCGACGCCAACUAAAGCAGAGAGUGUGGCAUCGACAUCGACACUUCAGAUGGAAGACAUGUCCACGCCAACACAAGUAAACACGUUUAAUCAGUGUUGAUGUGUCAGUGUCCGUGUUUGUGUUUCGUAUGCAAAAAGAAAUAACAAUUAACAAUAAGCUCCAACAUUUCAGCAGAAAAAUAUAAUAAUAGCUGAAACUUUUAAGCUUGAGACCCUAAUUUGAUUAUGAACUUUGUGGCAUUAACACUUCUAAUCGAAAGUGUGUCUGGUUUCCGAUGACGUCCGAUGCGAACGUGACUUUGACACAUAUGAUUUUAUUGAACCUUGAAAUUUGGUCAUUUUCCGGCUCUGUAGUGUUUCACCAUUGUUGUUGAUGAAAGUGAAACCACCAUUGGUGACAUUUUUAUUUGGAUGGUGAUAUGUAAGGUUUGAGUCAGGACUAAUGCUUCUUUCCAGGUUUUGAAGAGGUGAUUAGGAGAGUUUGGGAUAAAAAAUAAGUUUGGAAACUCACUAUUCGGCCGCCUAAUGAUCAAUUAAUAAUAAGCCUAAAGAAUUUGAUGUGAUCUUUGAAAGAAGAAAACAUAUCAGAUCCAAUAAAAUAUUACUAAAAUUUAUUAUCGGUCUAAGGUAAUUAAAAAAAAAUGUUGGCUAUUUUAUUGGACCGACAACAUUUAAAAUGGACACAAUUUAUUACUAUAAUUUAUUACUAAAAUUUACUAACAUUUAAAAUGGAAAUUCUUAAUUUGUGGAGCAAUUUAGUAAAGUAAGAAUUGCGGUCUUAUCACUUUUAGCAAGAAUAUUCACUAAUCAACUAUUAAUAAAUAAAUAUCACUAUAUUUCAAUUUUUCAAUAUUAAAAAAAAUGUGAAUCUUACCUAACAUUGAGGUUUAAAUGAGACAUUGAGUCUUGAAGACUCAAAAAAUAAAAAAUUCUCUUGAAUUGGCUACCAAGUCUUAAAAGUUUGAAACCUGUUAGGGAUGGUUCGGGUCACAUUCAUGGUGACUUUUCAAACAAGAAUUAGUGAUUAAAUAUAGUUCUGAUCACAAUUUAAAUUNCAUGGGGGGAGAGAAAAUUAAUCUAGUGCUAUAUGCUUCAUAUAUCCAAGGGUCAUUAAACAUUCGUGCUUGUUGUCGUGUGUUAUUGUCGUGCAUACAAUCAUUUCUCAUUUUUUAAAUGGGACUCACUCAUCAACUAUUAAUAAAUUCAUAUCACUACAUUUCAAUUUGUCAAUAUUAAAAGAAAUAUGGAUCUUACUUAACAUUUAGGUUUUAAAUGAGACAUUGAGUCUUGUAAGACUCAAAAAACUUCUCUCUCAAAUGAGGUACCUAAUAGAUAUUAAGUCUUAAAAAUUUGAAACCUAUUAGGGAUGGUAUGGGUCACAUUCAUGGUGACUUUUCAAACAAGAAUUAGUGAUUAAAUAUAGUUCUGAUCACAAUUUAAAUUGUUGGUGGGAAUACUUUUUCAAUUUUUGGGGUUCUAUAAAUUGGCUACAUCUAUCAACCAUGUGAUAGCACAUAACCACUUACAUUUUUUUAGAAGACAAAAAAAGGUGAUGGAGAGGAAAACACUUGCUAGCUUGUGCUUCUUUCUCAUUUUUCUCUUAGCUGCUCGUAAGUUUAUAUUAUAGUAAUUUGGGAUAUCAUUUUGUAUUUUAGUCAUUGUGUUUAACUCAUAAAACCAUUUUUUAGUACAAUACUUUUUAUUAGAAAAUAAAAACAUGUAUGCAAGCUAUAAUUUAGAGUUUAAUUUUUAUAUGUUUACGAUUUUUAAAGAAUAAUUUUUCAGUUCAGUAAUUAUAAAUAUAUAUACAUAUAUUUUUUUUGAGAGAAUGAAUAUAUCUAUAUAUGUAUGUACAUAUACAUAUAUAUAUAUAUAUAUAUAUAUAUGAUUAUUCAUGAUUGCUUGACACUUUCAAUCAGAUUUUUAAAUACUUGAUUGUAAAUUCUAAUUGAAAUAAUCUUGGUAAAAUUUACUUUUCUCUCGAUCAAAUUAUAUAUCACUAUGGCCAUCUUCCUUAUGAAUUGAAGAAGGAAAACAUAAAAACAAAUCUUAAAUUUGAUGCAACAAUUUUUUUUCUAUUUAGAAAAAAAUAGAAAUAUAGCAUUAGAAAAUGAUGAAAAGUGAUAAAUUUAACUUUUUAAAAGUCAAAAUAUUGUUGAAACUAAUACAGACAUGCUACUUUUGGCUUCCUUAAUCAUUGCCCCGAGGGUAAUGGUUAGCAAGACCCUAAUAAUAAUAAUAAUAAUUUUGUCAAAAAAAAUAAUAUACUAAUAAUAAAAAAGUUUUUCUAUCAUAUGCAAAUUAAUUUAAAAUAGUAAUUUUGUUACCUAUCGAGUGAGACACCAAAUCAGCACUUUUUUAUAUGUUCAUGGAAUAAAUCAUUGAUCAAGAGAAUUAAUUAAUAUAUGGAGUAAUAUGUGUGAUAAGAUAG